GAGAAACCCUGGAACUAAAAAUGGGCAAUCCUGAGAAAAUCCGUCGACUUUAGAAAUCGUGAGGGUU
rnacentral:tRNA from 1 species